rnacentral:tRNA from 1 species
GAGGGUAUAGCUCAGUGGUAGAGUGCAUGCUUAGCAUGUGCAAGGUCCUGGGUUCAAUCCCCAGUACCUCUA